GAAUUGCACUUGAAACUGCCGGAAUUGAGUGAAGGAGAGGGGAAUGGAAUUCCCGGUGUAAGGGUGAAAUCUGUAGAGAUCGGGAGGAACACCAGUGGUGGAAACGAUUCCCUGGCCUCUCACUGGCGCUGAAAUACGAAAGCUAGGGGAGCAAACAGGAUUAGAUACCCUGGUAGUCCUAGCCAUAAACGAUGGGCACUAGGUGUAGGUCCGUAUAGGAUCUGUGCCGCAGUUAACACAUUAAGUGCCCCACCUGGGGACUACGGCCGCAAGGUCGAAACUCAAAGGAAUUGACGGGGACCCGCACAAGCGGUGGAGCAUGUGGUUUAAUACGACGCUACGCGUGGAACCUUACCAGGGCUUGACAUGGUGGAAGUAGGAACCUGAAAGGGGGACGACCCGUUAAGUCGGGAACCAUCACAGGUGUUGCAUGGCUGUCGUCAGCUCGUGUCGUGAGAUGUUGGGUUAAGUCCCGCAACGAGCGCAACCAUCGCUCUAUGUUGCUCACCGCAAGGAAGCACUCAUAGGGGACUGCCAGUGAUAAACUGGAGGAAGGUGGAGACGAUGUCAAGUCAGUACGGCCCUUAUGCCCUGGGCCACACACGUGCUACAAUCCCCACUACAAAGGGUUGCAAGACCGUAAGGUGGAGCCAAUCCCAAAAAAGUGGGGUCAGUUCAGAUUGAGGGCUGCAAUUCGCCCUCAUGAAG
rnacentral:rRNA from 1 species